GAAUGCCUGCUGUGCAGUGUCCUCUGGAUGGAUGCUGAGGCUCAAAAGGUGGACAUUGUGUUGAGGAGUUCACAUUCUAACAGGGAAGUGCGACCAACCACUGCUUUUCAAAAACAAAAUGUUGUAUGUUGUACAAUAGAAAGGCAAGAAAAUGCAGAAGAGUUUAUGGAAAGUGAGAGAGAGGAAGCUGCGGUGGACUUGUGCUUGGACAGAUGAGUAGGGUUAGUGAAUGGACAAGAUACUCCACUUUCAUGGAUCCCAGACUGGAAAUAAUAGAUCAUGCACUACGUUUAUGGUUUUGCAAGAAGUCCAAAGGCAGAACUCCAAACAGCAUUUUCCAG